CUUAUGAAUACUACAAUAUCAUUCUUCCUAAUGGAUGAGUAUUCCAUUGUGUAUCUAUACAAAUUUUCUUGAUCCAUUCAUCCAGUGAGGGGCAUCUGGGCUGAUUCCAUGUCUUGGCGUUACUGCUGAUGACUUUACUGUAACCUUAUUUGUGUUCUAUUGAUAAAUGCACAGAAGUGGAAUUGCUGGGUCAUAGGGAAGCUUUAUGUUUAGUUUUUUGAGGAAUCUCCAUAGGGCUUUUCCAAAGUGGUUGAACAAGUUUACAGUCCCACUGGCAGUGUGUUAGGGUUCCCUUUCAUCCCCACCCAUAAGUGUCUACUGAAUACCACUGCGGCAUUUGUUCACUCUUUGUCCCUCCAUUUCUGUGUGAGUUCUGUUUUCUU